CCCCGGCUUGGUGGCGGUGGCCUGGGCACUUGUGGCACCAAGCUGAGCCAGUACAGGUUUCUUCCCCUUUGUACCUGGCAGCCCAGGGAGCAGCAACUCUCGGAGGUGCCCAAGUUAUGGAAUGAAGGCAGCAUAUCACACCUCACUGAGUGAUGCGGAAGAUGCUCCAGUGGCCAGGCAGAGGUCUGUCCAUCCCUGCUGGGCAGACAAAGCACC